GUUGGGCAUGGUGGUGCAUACCUGUAAUCCCAGUGACUCAGGAGGCUGAGUCAAGAGGAUUGCAUGAUUGAGACUAGCCUUGGCAACCUAGCAAGACCCUGUCUCCA
rnacentral:sRNA from 1 species